rnacentral:rRNA from 1 species
AACGAACGCUGGCGGCAGGCCUAACACAUGCAAGUCGAGCGCCCCGCAAGGGGAGCGGCGGACGGGUGAGUAACGCGUGGGAACGUACCCUUUGCUACGGAAUAGCCUCGGGAAACUGGGAGUAAUACCGUAUGUGUCCUUCGGGAGAAAGAUUUAUCGGCAAGGGAUCGGCCCGCGUUGGAUUAGGUAGUUGGUGGGGUAAUGGCCUACCAAGCCGACGAUCCAUAGCUGGUUUGAGAGGAUGAUCAGCCACACUGGGACUGAGACACGGCCCAGACUCCUACGGGAGGCAGCAGUGGGGAAUCUUAGGCAAUGGGCGCAAGCCUGAUCUAGCCAUGCCGCGUGAGCGAUGAAGGCCUUAGGGUUGUAAAGCUCUUUCAGGGGGGAAGAUAAUGACUGUACCCCCAGAAGAAGCCCCGGCUAACUCCGUG